GCUGUGCGAAUCAAUUUCUAAUCCUUGCUACAGCUUGCUACUUUAUUUUCUUUAUUUUAAUUUUAUUUGUUUUCUUUAUUAGUUCUCUUUAAUAUUUUGUACUUGAAUUUAGAUUCUAAUUAAUGCAAAAGUAAUUUUAUUCUCUUUAAAUUUUUUGAUUUUUAUUUUAAUUGUAAGUAGAAACUAGGAUCUAGUUAGUAGAUCC
rnacentral:lncRNA from 1 species